AUCAGAAACUCAAAGGUUGUAGGAGGAGAGGAAUCAGAAUAUUCUCAUCAGAAUUCUGGAGAAGUAGUCUCUCCCCACUCCCUACAAUAGUAGGGAGGCUGGGUUUUAGGGAGCAGGCUUAGUAACCCUGGCAGCCCCAUCUAUUCCAUAGGAAGGACACUCCCGUUGGGAACCUCAGGGGCCUGCCCUCCUGGCCAGAGGGGCCAAGAGUUGAACAUAUACUCUCUAGGCCUGACGUCAGGGUGCCCUGCCAAGGUCAAGUCCACUCACCUCCCCUGAGCAUGGUGGCAGGAGAAAGGGCCACACAUCCACUACUCAGCCUCCGUUGGCUGAGGCUGUUUUCCAGCUCCCGGAGCUUCUUCUCCUCUUGCAGCACCGCAUGCUUCCUCCGCCUUCGGAUCUGCUUGGUGAGGUUUUCCUCUUUGUAGAGACGACGGGCCGCCUCUGCAAUCUGCAGCUGCAGCGCCAGCUCCUGCUCCAGGCUGCUCAGAGGGUCCUGGGCAGGGGUAAUGGAGAAAAAGAGGCUAUGAUGUACACAAAACAAAGCAUAUGUGGCCAAUACAAGCCAAGAGAUGGAAUCUGGGAGCUGGUGGUAUCAUACUCAAGAUACCAAGAGGUACUGAGAGGAUGCUUCACUCUUGUCUAAUGUGUUCAUUUUGGUCCACGUUCUGGGCUGGGAUCCCAGUGAUCGAUGAUAAGAGAAUUCCCACAACUAAGGGUGAGGACACUGAGGUCCAAGAAAGAGCAGAGACUUGCUUACCUACCAUCUGGAGAGAGGAUCAUGUCUCCUAAAGACCUGCUGUUCUACAACAAAAUAAAACCAGAGGUUUUAGAGUUGGAAAGGUUCUACUCCAACCUCUUCCUUUCACAGAUAAGAAA